CUCCCAAGCGAGAAGACCUCCACGCCCAACCCGAGCCCGCAGGAGGGAGCCCGGGGUUAGUCCGCCGACAGCGAAGGGCCAGGCUGCCGAGACAACUUCUGAAUGGCUGAAAGUUGAGCGCAACCCUCCGCGCAGAACAGCAAUGUUGGCUUAGGGAAGGAAGCUAGACGAACCUUCCCCUGCCCCCGACCCGGCCGGCGGAGAUCGAAAAGAAAGAAGUAGUUAGAGACUUAUUGGCUGCUUUAAGGUGCCUCUUUAAGAAAAAUCUUCCCGUCGAAAUCAACAAUCGUGGGCCACUCGAACUGCAAAAAUUGCAAGAUUAAAGAUUCGUUCAACCCGGCGCUGGAGAAUGAAGGACGAAAUCUCCGCGGAAGUCCGAGUUUCGAUCUUUUCAAGCGCAAAAACGAAAGCUUCCCAGCUUCAGGUCGGAGAGCGCUGGAAGAUCUUUUGAUAAAUGGACUUUUCUCUCCUUCGCUCCUCUCUGGAUCCCUAUCGCUGUAUGGGGGGGGGGGGGGAAGCUCAGCUCUAGAGACCCUUGGGAACUGCGGAGCGGCGCUUUUCCACGCCACGGCCCUCCCAAAUACCCGAAAAACAUUUUGGUGUGCGAUUUGCAAACCAGACACAUUAUCUGGGGCUUACCCGGGACGCAUAUCAAAUAUCAAAAGCCUUUGUCCCCUCCCCCUCCCCCCCCCAAAAAACUAUUUUCUUCCACUUCAGCUUUUGUUUAUUUUCCCAUUAAAAAUAAAUAGAUAAAACAAUCUAAUGAAGCGAUCCGGUAAGAUCCGGCGUAUGGCCCGUCGUUUCAUUUAGUUGUUCUGAGGCCGAAGAAUUUUGUGCGCGGCCUUUUUUGUUGUUGUUGUUGUUGUUGCUGUUGUUCGGUUCUGAAACAGAUUUGUGACUUGGAGAUAUUUUAUUCAUUUAGAUCUUUUCCAAACCACUGGGAGGGGGAGGGGAAGUGUAAUUAAUUAUGGCCGCUUUCAAGACCUGCCCCGGGUGUUUGUUGUUUGGGUGGGAGAAAAAUUCCAAAGUUUAAGGUCGGUUUCAUUUUUUUCCCCGAAGAAUAAGAAUAAAGACGAGAAAAAACGAGAAGACCGACUGCUUUAUUUACUGGCAACUUUUGUUAAUGCAGAUAUUUUUAACAAGAGCAGUAGGAUUACAGCAGAAGUGUUUAAACCUGUAAUCCUAUAUCGUUGUCCAUUAACUGGGAGGAAGCCCCACUGAGUUCAAUGAGACUUUCAUCGAAGGGAAUAGAGUUAGACUUCCCAGGCCAAAACCCUUCCCCAAAGUUUGGGAAAAGGGAAGCCACAAUUGUCUGCAUUUUCAGAUCUAAACCAACACAGAGAUGCAUUUUCUCCUGAGGGAGCAGGAAGUGGAUAGCUAUUUACAGAAUAUUUUCUUGCUCUUGGAAAUAUUUGUUCUUUUCCUGAUUUUCGAAAAACAAAACAAAACACCACCAAACUUUGCUUUCCAAUUCAGCGGAAACAUGCCUGGGCACGUAGGAGCAAAAUAACAAGGUUUUUUUUUAAUUCAUAAAAUCCAGUUUUUUUAAAAAAAAAAUAAAUUGAUUUAAUUAGUCAUAGAAUGACUUCGCUGCCUCCUCUGUGCUUCAAAGAGCAGGGAAUAACACACUGCCUCCUCAUUUCAGUGGAGAUCCAGGUGUACCUUUCCAGCAUAAGCCUCUUCAGCUGGUUGAAUACGAGGAAGAACUCACUGGGAGUUCUUCCUCAUAUUCAACCAGCUCGCUUGGGACAAGGGAGUGAAAAAACGCAAGGCAAGGCAAGGCAAGGCUAGGCAAGCCACAGUGAUUUUCCAGGCAGCUGAAGGCAACAAUGAACAGUGAAAAUACCUGGGGAGAGGGGGUGGGUUGGUUAUAAUUUUGACAGGCUUGGUGUUUGCAACAAUUCAACAAUUGUUGUUGAUCAGCAAGAUGGUCUGAGAAACGUCUGCAAUGCAAGGGGGAAAUUAAAGAUGGGAGAGAUAAAGAAACAUAUGGAAAGAAUAAAAGUGUGGCCUGUCUGCUGCAAUUUACAAAAUUAUUUGAGACAGAAUGAGGUUGUGGUGGGAAUAGGCCCAGCUGCUAUUAUUAAUAUUAGUAUUAGUAUUAUUUUGAAAUGAAGGAAAUUUUAAGAAAUCUAUUCUUUAUGCAACUUCUGUUUUGACCUACCACGUCUGUCUCCUUUCAAGUCUUCAUGCUACAUUGACUUCUAUGGACCAAAAAAAAAAAAAAAACCCAAAAAACAAAAACUAAAAAAUCCACAGCCUUGAAACACACCGGACUCUCAACUUUUUCUUCUCUAUUUUAGAGAAGAAAAGGCAGGGGAAGAAGGAGGAGGGAGGGAAACCACGUUUAAAGCUGUCUUUUUUAUCUUGGUGCCUUCCAUAAUUGAACAUGAUCGUGUCUUUCCUCCACUCAUUCUGCAUCUUGGUUGAAGACAGAAUUGUCAGCACACCUUAUACGCUCCAGGUUGAUUGAUGCAGAAGAUUUCUUGAAUUGGGGAAAACUACAGGAAGACAAAAGGGACCAGCUACUUGUCUGUGUCCAUAUGCAAUAGUAAACACUGUGAUUCCAGUAUGUAAUAUUUAAUGAAGGUAGCCAAAAAGAAAAAAAAAACAAAAACCCAACAACCUUCAGUUCCAUUUUUCAAAUACACAUAUAAGCUAUUAUGCAGUAAUUUUCAAAAUAAUCACCGUAUGAAGUCUCUCUCACAAAAGGAAACUUUUCACAAUUUAAAGAACAGUGUUAUGAUACAAGUUCCCAUAGCGUGGAGUUUAGUUUAUCAGAUGAAUCUCCUUCAUGCAAGAAUGGCUGCUUUAAGACAGGGUUUAGGGGCAGAUGUUGAGGAACCCACUUCACAGCAGGGGUCACAGAGCCCCUAAAUGGAGUCGUUCCCAGCUGCUCAGUUCAUAGGCCAUACAAGCCAGAGGAGAGACAAUGUUGAAUGGUCCCUAUGUUCUAAUAUAACUGGAGGUUGGUUAUUAGUUUAUCACAAAAUGUAUGUUUGUCUUGGAUUUAGGAUAAAUGUUGUUGUGUUCUUCAGAAUAAUAUUUCUGCUUACCACUGUGAUUAUUAUUUUACUUUAGGAUGGAAGUUAUUAGCAUAAAGGAUCCGAUUUGUGGGUCCCUUCCUCCAAUUCUACCAAUCAUCUUCUGAGAAAUUCUUUGUGAAUGAUGGGAUUCUGGAUACUGAACCUGAGGAAGAAUGAGAGCUACACCAUGCUUCUGAACUCUACAUUUGUUGGGCAUGAGCCGCCCAGAGUCAUUUGAGGCCAGAUGUCCUCUAAAUUGUAUAAAUAAACAAACAAACCAAAAUCCAGGAUACUUCAUGAAUAUCUGAGAAAAGGUAAGAUAAUAUACAGUAUGUAGAAUAGCAAUAGCAGCAGGAACAACUUGCCACAAUCUCAGAGGACUGUCACUGGGAGCAUGUCCCAGUGGAGUAAUACAAGGAAAACUGAAAUUUGCCUUGGUGGGAACGCGUCAAAUGAGCCACAAAAACAUCAGGAGCAGAGAGCAAAACUGUCACCAGAACUUAUGUGUAGAUGUGGGUGGGUGGGUACGUGCCAGUGUUGGGCUUGGAAAGGAAGCUUGCUUCCUGAUUCCUAAUUUCCAUCAACUGAAGCUUUGCUUUGGGUGAACUGCUUGGAUCCUUCCUGCUUGAUUAUUCUAGUCAAUCCUUCUCUGAACGGCAUCUAUUGACUCCCUGAAGAUGCUCAAAGGGAUGUGAAGCUUUUACCCGGGCAGCUUGUUCUGUGAUGGCUCGUUCAGGCAGGCAGAUCCCUGCUGGAAGCUUUUGAAUAUACAGGAAGCAGCAGAUAGAUUUUAAUCAAUUUUAUCUCAUUUCAGUUGUACAAAAAGUCAUCAUUGGGAGGGGACAAGAGAAAGGCACAACUUCGUGACCAAGCCUGGAUGUAGAUGGUUUUGAUGGAAUGCCCCUGUCGAAAUACCCGGAGUUACACCCACGUGCACAUACAGCUUGAACCAAACCAGGAUCUAUGGCUUCAGCUGCCAUCUUCCCCAAGAGAGGAAAUGUGGCUGAGUAUAGUUUGCAUAAUUCACACUAGCUUUCUUAUUAGCUCUGAAAUUGCUUGAGGAGCUGGUGAGAAUUUUCUUUUCCUUGCUACUGUUUUCAGCACCUCCAGUUAUGUCCUUAAGGCGCAGCCAGUGCAGGUUUGCACACACAGCAAAUUGUCCUACUUAUGAGUCAUUGGGAAUGUUGCAAGCUUUCUGUUCUGUAGAUUUUUUCAGGAAACACAAGUGCUUCCAUGCACAGCUAUUCUUGUUAUACAUCCAGGCCGGGGAUAAACAGAAUGGUACCCAUGGAGAUGAUAUGCUAGUAAAAUAUUCAUCAGGUGCUCUACCCUCAUGUGAAUUAAUUUGUUAAAGAGGAAAAUAGCUGAGUUGUAAAGAUCCACAUUCUACUCCAAUGGCUGGUAAUGGGACAUCUUCAGGCACUGUGAUAAUGUGACAUUCUUAGGUGGUUGUCCAAAGGCCUGCGUAAAAAUAUUUUAGUAAUGACCAAAAUGGUCCAAGUACACCAAAUCUCAUAAGAUUUCAAGCAAGACUGUCAAACCCUCUCAUGUUUUGAGUGAGAAUGCCAAUAUUUUAUGAGAUUUAAUGAUGUCAGAAAAUUCCAGAAUUAUUUUAAAAAAGAAUUAAAAUAUUUCUUUUUGGUCCCAACAUUAUUGUACACCAUCAUGCCAUUCAUGUAUUUUUAUGUCAUUUAUUUGCAGGAAUGGCUCUGUAUUUCACAAAUGAUUCCAAAAGUAUUUCUAAAACAAAUUACAACCAUAAGAUUAUAGAAAGUCUUUAUUUGGGGAUUUGAAAAUUGAUUUCCAAGAAAAUAUUAGAAGAAGGAAGGAAGGGGAAAGAAAAAAAGAAGGGAGAGGAAGAAUUGGAGCCAAAACCAUAUUCUGAACGAUGUUCUGUUCUCUUCCUUAUCUGUAGUGUGAUUGCCUAGGAUCAUGGGGCGACUAGGCUCAGCAGCUAAAUGAAGUGGAGAAGAAUUCCAUUUUAGCAAAUAACUGAGCAGGACCUGCUGAAUGGAGAUUGCCUCAGUCUUACAUCUUAGUGAAGCACAAUUGAAGAUCUGUUUCCAGAAUCACAGAACUGAGCAGAAGAGAUGCAGGAGGGGGAGAGAAUGCUAUGGUGGCUGCAAUGUGGGGAUUCCCCUUCUUCAGAGAAAUUUUAUCUUGGCUUUCCUUUCACCGUCCCCUGGCAGGGGCAACAUGGACAAGACCACUACUGUACGCUGCUGUGACUGGGACUCACAGUCUUUUUGCAGUCUUGCAAAACUCUUGUAGUUCCUAGAAAGAAUAUACAGAAAUCUUCCCUAUGGGAAUGGGAUCAUGCAAUUUCUCUUUUACUUCCAACUUUGUUCCAGAAAACAGCAAAUAUCAACUUUCUCCUGGAAUUUAGUGUGGUAUGUGUAUUUAUGUUAGCUAGUUAUUUAGUUAGACAGUCAAUUUAGCAGCCUGGUAAAAAUCCAAAGUGCUGAUGUGACAUUAUCAGUCUUUUAAGGGAGGACAGGAUCAGGAAAUAACUACACAAGGAUUACAGGAAUGCUUCUUAUCCAACAUGGUUUUCAUCUUCCCUCUUAGACAAACUCAAGGCAAAGUUAUUUUUUUUUUCCCUCAUGCCUUCUUCUUUCUCAUAAUUGAGUUAACUCUUAUAUUAUUUUAACUGUUCCUCCAUACCGUUUUAUCUCCUCAUUGCCCUACACCAGUGAUGGUGAACCUUUUAGAGACCGAGUGCCCCAAAACUGCCCCUGCCCUGCUCUACCCCCUGCCUCACCCCCACUCCACUUACCGCCUCCAGGG